rnacentral:rRNA from 1 species
GUCUACGGCCAUACCACCCUGAACGCGCCCGAUCUCGUCUGAUCUCGGAAGCUAAGCAGGGUCGGGCCUGGUUAGUACUUGGAUGGGAGACCGCCUGGAAUACCGGGUGCUGUAGGCU